AGAUGGUCCAGCUGAGGCCCUCUUGGACAACACUUCCUCUCCUGCCCACGGUGGGAGGUUGGGAAGGACAUUCCCCCAUUUCCAUUUGCUCUGCCAUUCGAAACCUUGUGAGGGCCCUCAGGGAAGAAUCCCUUUGCAGAUGAGGAAACUGAGGCCCCACGUGGUGAAGUGGCAGAUCUGAUUCUAGAGCCCAGGUGCCCUCAGUGUCAGCCCCUGCCAUUCUGACCAUGCUGCACUCAGAUCUUGUUCUACUCUCUGGAGUUUGUCCACAUCACAGUUUUCUGGUAGCUCAUCAGACAAUUUUUACCCGAAUCCACCCACAACAAGAGACCAUUUGGAUAAUGUACAUUAUGGGAAGAGAACAGAGUCUCGGUGAAGAUCAUGUUUCCCCAGCAACACAGGUGCCAGGAGUAGCUGGCUCUGGUCCCAGCCCAGACUCAGAAAUCCUGAGCCACCAGACCAUUUCCAGAUUAACAAUGACCCACUGGAAACCAGUGUCAGCAUAACAACAGUUACGAGAGCUAAACCUACAAAACAGAAACACAAGUAAAACUUGUUCAAGUGGUUUGCAGUCAUUGAACAUAGAUCAGCUCCUAUGAAAACAAACUCCAUGGGUUGGCUGGUCAGCUACAGCAGCCCUGCUCUGUGCUGUGGGUGAGGCUCAGGUCUGUCCCAUGAGUCUCUCAUUUUGGGACCCACAUUGGAGGAAGAGUGGCUACCUGGGGCAAGCUCUUCUUAAUGGUAGAGCAGGAAGGAACACAAAAGACUGAGAAGUCAAGGCAAAGGGUGCAGGCACAUUCAAAGCCUCUGCUCACAUUUAUUGACCAGAACAACUCCAUGACCAGCCCCAACAUCAAUGGAGAGAUUAUGAUACUCCUAAUAUAGGUGAGGAAAAGAGACAGAGAGAACAUUUGCUGAACAGCACCCCCGCUAAACAUAUAAGGGUGGAACAGAGAUAGGUUAACAAAACUCAACAUCCUGUGCCUAAAGGGGAAGCAGUCACUGUUCUGUGGCACUUGUGAAAUCCCACUGGGCAAACAUUCUGCUGGAUGGGUCACUGGGCAGCAGAGCAGGCUUGAAAGCCUAAAUACCCUACAAGCUCAUGUUCCACCGCAGGCCAACACCAUGUACUACCCACAAACUCCCCAAAAGGGGAAAUGACCAAAGACAGAAAUGAAUUAAACCUUCGAACACAUGGUAUCUGUGCCACGGAUCAUGAAACUGAAGUCCUGCAUCCACUUAAAUCCUGUACCAAGAGAUGCCUCUGUCUUCUGAGGUGUCAGGAAGUGAGUAAAGAAAAAACAAAGUAAAGAAAGCAAAGUCAGUAGAGCAGUAAAAAACAUCAGUUAAUCAAUUGAUCAAUUCAGGAAACUUGAAAUAAUUUUCCUUUUCGGGAUCAAGGAACUAGAAGAAAAGAAUUCCUGCCUGAGAAAGGAGCGGAAGACCUCAUGAGAUACCUUCUUCAGAACCUCUGGCAGCCUUCCUGGGAUGUGGAAAACACUGUUUGUUUUUCCUUCCAUUUCAUUUAGAUGAAGAGUUGACUACUCGCACAGUCAUACAGUUGAUGGCAUUGUCAGGAAUAAUCUGUAAAUAAUCUGUAACACUCAUGUUUACUCAUAAACAGAUCCCUCUUUCCUGGACCAAAUUGCAGUUUUCUUUGGAAACUAUUUUAAUCAAGCCUUUUUUGUUUCAAAGUAACAUCAACUCACAUCAAACUAACUCAAGCCAGCCAAGUGGCUGGGGUAAGGAUUCUGGGGAAUCUCACAAAACUCAAGGUCAAGAGAGUGGCCUUGUGAGUGACUGGAAUGAGCAAUUGGCUGCACAGUAAAAACUGAGGCCAAAUCUGAGCAGGGUGUGUUGGAAUUGAUGUUUUCAUGUAAUUAGCAAUGCCACUCGCUCAGGGGACCCAAUGUUGGACUUGUCAAAUGCCACCUGUGUCUGUCGUCUCUUUCACACUGAAGCUGAGCACCCCCACCAUGUUCUACACAGGGGACCAUCAUGGAACUGUCCCUGACACAUGGCAGCCACUGGUGGAACCAGAUGUGGGCAUAGGACCCAAAGGCAGCUUAUGCAUUGCUUGCCAGAAACCCAUGAGGUGGGCCUGUGCAAAGGUCUUACCCAGUGGUAAUGACAGUAGUUAACCAAGUCAGUUAGUUUCAGUUACUUCGGACUGGGAAAUACAGAAGAUGGGCCAGUGAGUAGCCAAGGCAAAUGGACCCAAUGUAGGGAGAGACAUAUCAGCCACAGCUAGGAGGCCAUGCUGGCUCAGAUUGCUGGAGGCAGCAGCUGGCCUCUACAAGUGUCUCCCCCAGUUCUAGUCCAUAAGUGCCUAGAUGAAUCUGCCUGGGCUGCCCCAAAAAAGAAAAAAAAAAAG